rnacentral:rRNA from 1 species
CCCUUAGAUGUCCUGGGCUGCACGCGCGCUACACUGAUGUGUCCAGUAAGCACCUAACCUCUUCCGAAAGGAACGGGUAACCUUUGCAAAGCACAUCGUGAUGGGGAUAGAUUAUUGCAAUUAUUAGUCUUGAACGAGGAAUUCCUAGUAAAUGCAAGUCAUCAGCUUGCGUUGAUUACGUCCCUGCCCUUUGUACACACCGCCCGUCGCUACUACCGAUUGAAUGGUUUAGUGAGAUCUCCGGAUUGGCUCUGUAGGUCCCGCAAGGGAUUUAUUAGUAGCCAAGAAGCUGCUCAAACUUGAUCAUUUAGAGGAAGUAAAAGUCGUAACA